rnacentral:rRNA from 1 species
UACGUAGGUGACAAGCGUUGUCCGGAUUUACUGGGCGUAAAGAGCGCGCAGGCGGUCGAUCAAGUCGAGUGUGAAAGCCCCCGGCUCAACUGGGGAGGGUCAUUCGAUACUGAUCGACUCGAAGGCAGGAGAGGGUAGUGGAAUUCCCGGUGUAGUGGUGAAAUGCGCAGAUAUCAGGAGGAACACCAGCGGCGAAGGCGGCGCUCUGGGCCGGAACUGACGCUGAGGAGCGAAAGCGUGGGUAGCAAACAGG